AGCUUUGCGCAGUGGCAGUAUCGUAGCCAAUGAGGUUUAUCCGAGGCGGGAUUAUUGCUAAUUACGAAAAAAAAAUUUUCUGCCAUCAUGGAGCUUCCUGAGCUUGAGCUGGGUCAGAAAGACAGUAAUACUGCACAUAGU